rnacentral:rRNA from 1 species
AUAAAGAAGGCUGAGGAGACGCUAGGACCGUUCUUUGCUGACCGUCCAGAGAUGCACAAGGCAUUCGAGCUGUGCGUGGACCACAGUUUGACGGUCGAGGAGUUUGAAAGGAGCUGGAUGGCCAUGGUUGAAAUACAUCAAGUCGAAGACAACAAGACACUUGGUAGUCUGUGGGAGAAGCGAAUGUACUGGGUGCCCGCCUACUUCAUGCAGUGCUUCUUCCCCUUUCUGCAGACUACGUAGUGCAGCGAGGGGUUCAAUGCUGUUUUGAAGCGAUACGUGAGCCCUGGCAACUCAUUGCUACAGUUUGCUAAGCAGUACACAACUCUGCAACAAAAAAUUCUGGGAUCUGAGCUACAGUAA